UACGUAGGGGGCAAGCGUUGUCCGGAAUCAUUGGGCGUAAAGCGCGUGUAGGCGGCCCGGUAAGUCCGCUGUGAAAGUCGGGGGCUCAACCCUCGAAUGCCGGUGGAUACUGUCGGGCUAGAGUGCGGAAGAGGCGAGUGGAAUUCCUGGUGUAGCGGUGAAAUGCGCAGAUAUCAGGAGGAACACCUAUUGCGAAGGCAGCUCGCUGGGACGUUACUGACGCUGAGACGCGAAAGCGUGGGGAGCAAACAGG
rnacentral:rRNA from 1 species